AUGGCCACAUCACAUUAAAACAAUGGUUCCCAUACAAUCACUGAAGUUAAGCAGUGUCACACUUGGUCAGAACCUACAUGGGUGACCACUUGGGAAUACCAGGUGCUGUAAG